rnacentral:rRNA from 1 species
UCCUACGGGAGGCAGCAGUGGGGAAUAUUGCACAAUGGGCGCAAGCCUGAUGCAGCGACGCCGCGUGGGGGAUGACGGCCUUCGGGUUGUAAACCUCUUUCAGCAGGGACGAAGCGCAAGUGACGGUACCUGCAGAAGAAGCACCGGCCAACUACGUGCCAGCAGCCGCGGUAAUACGUAGGGUGCGAGCGUUGUCCGGAAUUACUGGGCGUAAAGAGCUCGUAGGUGGUUUGUCGCGUUGUUCGUGAAAACCGGGGGCUUAACCCUCGGCGUGCGGGCGAUACGGGCAGACUAGAGUACUGCAGGGGAGACUGGAAUUCCUGGUGUAGCGGUGGAAUGCGCAGAUAUCAGGAGGAACACCGGUGGCGAAGGCGGGUCUCUGGGCAGUAACUGACGCUGAGGAGCGAAAGCGUGGGGAGCGAACAGGAUUAGAUACCCUGGUAGUCCACGCCGUAAACGGUGGGUACUAGGUGUGGGUUUCCUUCCUUGGGAUCCGUGCCGUAGCUAACGCAUUAAGUACCCCGCCUGGGGAGUACGGCCGCAAGGCUAAAACUCAAAGGACUUGACGGGGGCCCGCACAAGCGGCGGAGCAUGUGGAUUAAUUCGAUGCAACGCGAAGAACCUUACCUGGGUUUGACAUGCACAGGACGCGUCUAGAGAUAGGCGUUCCCUUGUGGCCUGUGUGCAGGUGGUGCAUGGCUGUCGUCAGCUCGUGUCGUGAGAUGUUGGGUUAAGUCCCGCAACGAGCGCAACCCUUGUCUCAUGUUGCCAGCGGGUAAUGCCGGGGACUCGUGAGAGACUGCCGGGGUCAACUCGGAGGAAGGUGGGGAUGACGUCAAGUCAUCAUGCCCCUUAUGUCCAGGGCUUCACACAUGCUACAAUGGCCGGUACAAAGGGCUGCGAUGCCGCAAGGUUAAGCGAAUCCUUUUAAAGCCGGUCUCAGUUCGGAUCGGGGUCUGCAACUCGACCCCGUGAAGUCGGAGUCGCUAGUAAUCGCAGAUCAGCAACGCUGCGGUGAAUACGUUCCCGGGCCUUGUACACACCGCC